UACGGGGGGAGCAAGCGUUGUUCGGAUUUACUGGGCGUAAAGGGCGCGUAGGCGGCCACCGCAAGUCGACUGUGAAAUCUCCGGGCUUAACCCGGAAAGGUCAGCCGAUACUGCGGGACUAGAGUGCAGAAGGGGCAACUGGAAUUCUCGGUGUAGCGGUGAAAUGCGUAGAUAUCGAGAGGAACACCUGCGGCGAAGGCGGGUUGCUGGGCUGACACUGACGCUGAUGCGCGAAAGCGUGGGGAGCGAACAGG
rnacentral:rRNA from 1 species